UUUCAAAUAACAUGUUAGCUUAUUAUAUAUAAGUUCAUAUAAAAAAAGUAAAAUGGAAAAAGACUUUAAUGUAUCUAUACAUAAUGUUACUGAAUAUAUCAAUAUUUUAUCUGUUCAAGGAAAAAUAGUGGAUUAUAUAAAAUGAAACAUAUCAAGCAUUAGUAUUAUAGUCUCAGUUAUGAAAAGAAUACAUGGUCAUCAGUAUCACUCUUUGAGAUUUGGAUUUUAGAACAAAUCAUAAUUCAAUAGAAGCUAACUUAGAAUUAUUUGUCAUAUCACUAGCAGAUAUUUAGAAAAAAUAAUAAUUAAUCAAUUAUGAAAAAUUGCUAUAAAAAGAAAUUGUUGCAUAUCUAUAUAAAAGA